rnacentral:siRNA from 1 species
AGAUUUAGAUACAUUAUGAC